UACGAAGGGGGCUAGCGUUGUUCGGAUUUACUGGGCGUAAAGCGCACGUAGGCGGAUUGGUCAGUUAGGGGUGAAAUCCUGGAGCUCAACUCCAGAACUGCCUUUAAUACUGCCAGUCUCGAGUCCGGAAGAGGUAAGUGGAACUCCUAGUGUAGAGGUGGAAUUCGUAGAUAUUAGGAAGAACACCAGUGGCGAAGGCGGCUACUGGUCGGUACUGACGCUGAGGUGCGAAAGCGUGG
rnacentral:rRNA from 1 species